GGAGGAAUAUUGGUCAAUGGGCGAGAGCCUGAACCAGCCAAGUAGCGUGAAGGAUGACUGCCCUAUGGGUUGUAAACUUCUUUUAUAAAGGAAUAAAGUCGGGUAUGGAUACCCGUUUGCAUGUACUUUAUGAAUAAGAAUCGGCUAACUCCGGGCCAGCAGCCGCGGUAAUACAAAA
rnacentral:rRNA from 1 species